GUAGUCGAUGGGAAACAGGUUAAUAUUCCUGUACUUGGUGUUACUGCGAAGGGGGGACGGAGAAGGCUAUGUUGGCCGGGCGACGGUUGUCCCGGUUUAAGCGUGUAGGCUGGUUUUCCAGGCAAAUCCGGAAAACCAAGGCUGAGGCGUGAUGACGAGGCACUACGGUGCUGAAGCGACAAAUGCCCUGCUUCCAGGAAAAGCCUCUAAGCAUCAGGUAACAUCAAAUCGUACCCCAAACCGACACAGGUGGUCAGGUAGAGAAUACCAAGGCGCUUGAGAGAACUCGGGUGAAGGAACUAGGCAAAAUGGUGCCGUAACUUCGGGAGAAGGCACGCUGAUAUGUAGGUGAAGCGACUUGCUCGUGGAGCUGAAAUCAGUCGAAGAUACCAGCUGGCUGCAACUGUUUAUUAAAAACACAGCACUGUGCAAACACGAAAGUGGACGUAUACGGUGUGACGCCUGCCCGGUGCCGGAAGGUUAAUUGAUGGGGUUAGCGGUAACGCGAAGCUCUUGAUCGAAGCCCCGGUAAACGGCGGCCGUAACUAUAACGGUCCUAAGGUAGCGAAAUUCCUUGUCGGGUAAGUUCCGACCUGCACGAAUGGCGUAAUGAUGGCCAGGCUGUCUCCACCCGAGACUCAGUGAAAUUGAACUCGCUGUGAAGAUGCAGUGUACCCGCGGCAAGACGGAAAGACCCCGUGAACCUUUACUAUAGCUUGACACUGAACAUUGAGCCUUGAUGUGUAGGAUAGGUGGGAGGCUUUGAAGUGUGGACGCCAGUCUGCAUGGAGCCGACCUUGAAAUACCACCCUUUAAUGUUUGAUGUUCUAACGUUGGCCCGUAAUCCGGGUUGCGGACAGUGUCUGGUGGGUAGUUUGACUGGGGCGGUCUCCUCCUAAAGAGUAACGGAGGAGCACGAAGGUUGGCUAAUCCUGGUCGGACAUCAGGAGGUUAGUGCAAUGGCAUAAGCCAGCUUGACUGCGAGCGUGACGGCGCGAGCAGGUGCGAAAGCAGGUCAUAGUGAUCCGGUGGUUCUGAAUGGAAGGGCCAUCGCUCAACGGAUAAAAGGUACUCCGGGGAUAACAGGCUGAUACCGCCCAAGAGUUCAUAUCGACGGCGGUGUUUGGCACCUCGAUGUCGGCUCAUCACAUCCUGGGGCUGAAGUAGGUCCCAAGGGUAUGGCUGUUCGCCAUUUAAAGUGGUACGCGAGCUGGGUUUAGAACGUCGUGAGACAGUUCGGUCCCUAUCUGCCGUGGGCGCUGGAGAACUGAGGGGGGCUGCUCCUAGUACGAGAGGACCGGAGUGGACGCAUCACUGGUGUUCGGGUUGUCAUGCCAAUGGCACUGCCCGGUAGCUAAAUGCGGAAGAGAUAAGUGCUGAAAGCAUCUAAGCACGAAACUUGC
rnacentral:rRNA from 1 species